rnacentral:rRNA from 1 species
UACGUAGGUCCCGAGCGUUGUCCGGAUUUAUGGGGCGUAAAGCGCGCGCAGGUGGUUUAUUAAGUCUGGUGUAAAAGGCAGUGGCUCAACCAUUGUAUGCAUUGGAAACUGGUAGACUUGAGUGCAGGAGAGGAGAGUGGAACUCCAUGUGUAGCGGUGAAAUGCGUAGAUAUAUGGAGGAACACCGGUGGCGAAAGCGGCUCUCUGGCCUGUAACUGACACUGAGGCUCGAAAGCGUGGGGAGCAAACAGG